CUGGAUCACAGUAGGGAAAGAAGCCACUUCUUGGGGAUAGAACCCAGGGAGGAAUAAAGAAACCCACUUUUCUACAGUCACAUAGAAAGUCAUAAAUAGCAGCAAAAUUGAAUUUCUAAGGCACCAGGAGAAUGAGGAGAAGCUUGUGGCUGACUUGAAUCCCUCAGAUGAUUUUGUUUUAUGAAGGAUGGGAUGAAAAUGUCAGAGUACACGGAAAACAUCUUAGUUCUUCCCAUCUCCAGUGGGAUCAUUCAAAUCCUGCCCCAGGUCCUGUUGAGCUAGUGCUGAUGCCCCAGGAAGAGGAGCAAAGAGGAAGCCUGAGAAAAAAAUGUGCAUCGCAUCGGCCAACAAUCCAUUUGGACUUUUUCUCUAUCUGUUUGCUUGUUUAUUUUUUUCCUAAGGGGCCAUUCCUUCAUCUGCUUCUCAGAAUUCUACACCAUCUCCUAAAACACAAAAAGGACACAGUUUGCCAGGCUUAGGUGACUUGGAGAAGGAUGAUGGAAAUCAUUCAGAUCAUUCCCUUGGCAAUGUAGCCAGCCCCAUUCUGGACUUCCCUGCCACGACAUCCUCAGUCUCUCACACAUAAGGUAAUCCAGGUUGAAUAUUUCUUCAGUCAUGUUUCUGGAGUCUGAAAGAAAACAAAGUCUCACAGUGUUCAAGAAUUCAGCUACUGAGACUGAAGCCAAAUAGAUUCUUGGAGAAAUGUGAAGAAAGAAGCAACAUGCUAUCAGCCUUGGGAAACAAAGAAAUACAAGAUUGCUCGAAAUCUUCAAUCUCUGAUAUUGUAUUAAUGAAGGCUCAUUCCCAAGUGCCGGAAAAGCCUUCCACGAUUCAAGAUGAAUUGCAAGAAUGUGUUGUUUGGGGCAAUUAUGAAGACAGAGAGGAAAUGUUAUGCAAACUCCUAGGUUUCAGCUGUUUCCAAGGCCAGGCCUGACUAGCCACAGAAAGCAAG
rnacentral:lncRNA from 1 species